GCGCAACAGCGAAGCGGUUGUCAACUUGUUUUAUAAAUUUUGAAAAAUAACGGUUUUGUUUUUGUGGUAUGUGGCACGUGUGUGGUGACAGUUGGAGAAGAUAUUUUAAGGUGAUGUGUGUCACUUGUGUAAUUUUAUAGAGCGAGUUAGUCCACAAUUCUUAAUUUGUCCUUUUAUUAGUAGUUUUUACCUUGUGUGUAACACAAAUUGUUGAUACCAAAAUGGCGAAUGGAUAUGAAAGAUCCCACUUAUAUAAAGUUCGCGUUCGGACUUCUACCAUUUUAGAAGAAAUGGAGAAAGUGACAGAUAAUCUUCGUCGUUCAUCACGGUGGUCGAUAUUGUUACAAAGACGAAACAUAGCUGCCUUCAUGUCCCCAAUGAACUCCCCUCAUACUUCUAUAAAGAAGAUCGAACGAUCUGUAAUUAAGAAGAAUCAAAGUGACGAGCGUAUGGAACAGUUAAACAAAUGGAAGGA